ACAGCAGGAAAAUUGACGUUGUUUCUGUUCUUAUUAGUUUAAUAUCUGAUAACUCCCGACUGUGGGAGAGUUUAUAUUAAAUGGAUUUUUGGAACAGGGAGAUGGGUUAGGGGCUUGCUUCAUCCUCUCCAUGUAUCAGCCUGGUAUUAUCAGAUAGGUCAGUCCCCAAACCAGCUUGAGAGAUCAUAU